rnacentral:tRNA from 1 species
GGAGCGGUAGUUAAGACGGUUGAUAACGCCGGCCUGUCACGCCGGAGGCCGAGGGUUCGAGUCCCUUCCGCUCCGCCA